CACGUAGGGCGCGAGCGUUGUCCGGAAUUAUUGGGCGUAAAGAGCUCGUAGGCGGCCAGUUGCGUCUGCUGUGAAAUCCCGGGGCUCAACCCCGGGCGUGCAGUGGAUACGGGCUGGCUAGAGGCAGGCAGGGGAGAACGGGAAUUCCCGGUGUAGCGGUGAAAUGCGCAGAUAUCGGGAGGAACACCGGUGGCGAAGGCGGUUCUCUGGGCCUGUACUGACGCUGAGGAGCGAAAGCGUGGGGAGCGAACAGG
rnacentral:rRNA from 1 species